UCUCAUCUUUUUCUCCAUGCCGUAUGCGUUUUGCAGAUUGGAUUUUUCUUCGAUGUCUUUCCUACCGAGGGACCUGUCUUCAGAUCGGCUCGGAUCGGGCCAGCAGCUCCUAUUUGCUGGUUUUAUACGAUGAAAGGAGUAAGCGUUGAUGGAUCUAUGAUUUUAAAGGCCUUUUCUGGCAAGGAAGCAAUCAUUAACUUGAAGAUCCCCAGCACUUCUAGCUUUCGAAAAUGGUCUCAUCAGCGGCCGAGAUUUGGACGAGCGUAUUGAUUUCAGAUGUACGAUAUUAAUAGACGAGGCAUCUGGGCGAUGUGGGAUUGAAUGGUUUGUUCUUGAAAGGAUGUGUAAGAUGUCAGGGCAGAAGGUCCUACUGAUAAUAUUUAUUUGUUAGGGGACUGAGUCCUGAUCUAUCCUUGUCGUCCAAGACCUUUGCCAUGACAGGUGCGCUUGCAUGGCAGGUCGCCCAACUUAAUAAAAAAAUUAUAUUUUUCGGUGUUUUUAGAGGGGAGUUCGCACGGGGUUGCCCGGGUUCUCCCCUCUGCUGCGGUGUCGUAUCGUGUCUCCUGCUCCUUUAUUUUCUUUUUCCCUUCCCCUUUCCCGUUUUCUAUUUUUUGCAACAUACGGGAUGGAUGCUUGCUUCAACAUCAUCACCACCGUCGGAAUAUGCUCAUGAACUCCCAAGCCAUACUACUAGCGUAUCUCAAGGCCAAGGUAUUAACUUACAUAUUUUAACCCAACUUUGACUUAUCUACUUUUACUUUAAAAUUUAAUUUAUUUAUGCAUAUUUAAAUAUGAAAGGAUAAUAAAUUAAUAGACCAUAAAGUUAAAGGGGUCAAGUAGAUUGAAUGGGAAAAAGAUACAUGAUAAGUAAUAUUGAAGAACAUAUAUUUUUUUUCUUAAGUUAUUGAGUCAUAGUUUAAAACUAGCUAUCUAAUCUAAGGUUAUUUAAUUUCGAUGAUGAAUGAGUGAAAUUAAAAAUUGAUUUCGGUAAUGAAUAACUUAUCAUGAAAUAAAUUUAACAUUAUUUUUAAUGAACAUCUUUAAGUUAGAAGUCCAAUUUAAAGCAGUGCAAUUUUUAAUAUUAUACGCUGCAUUGAUUUUUAUGUGUACCUUCUUUUAAUUAAGAGUUUCUCGUAAUAACGAAUUAAAAAAAUUGGCAACUCUCUAAAAAAGUUGAACUAUCUAUCUUCAUUUCAUGUCUCACAAGAUCAAUUGAGGAAUCACCAUUUCAAUCAAAUGUUAGUAGCACUGAAACACUUGUUUAUGUGAUCGUAUUUCCUUUAAUUUCUAUAUAUGCUAGCCAUUUAAUCUAUUGACCAUUAAAGUAGUAUUAUGGUAUAUUUUAAAUAAGAUUUUAAAUAGUGCUUGGUGAUUUGGAUUUUUUUUUUUUUACAAAUUUGAUUUGAAUUUUUGUUGGGAUUUUCUUUGAAAUGAUUCACUCGAUUGAAUCGAUAUGAUUCAUAUAUUUUGAAAAUUGUUUUAUAUAAGCUCAUUUACAUAUUGUUUUUAUGCUCCCUAGUCUUCACGGAGAAUUUUCUCACAACCUAAAUGAAUCAUUUAACGUUCGAACUAACUUUAAAAUGUCAACCCCAACCGUGUAGUUUAUUGGGUUUUCUUCUUUUUCUCCCCGUCUGAAUGCUCUUGGAAACAUGUGUAUUUUGCUUGUAUAUAGCUCUUUAUAGUUGUUUACGUUCUUGCACAGGCUUUUGUUUACAUUGGAUUUAAGGUUGCAAGUUACUUCCUCUUUAGAAGAUAUCGAUGGAAGAAGUGUUGAAAGUCCAAGGAAAUUAGACAGCACAUGGGAUGUUAAAUGGGUGCUGCAAAUGGUUUAAAUUAUGCAGUCAUUUUAGUUGAAAAUGUGCAAGGGGCCAAUGUAAUUAAUCCAAGAUCAAAUCCAAAAGCAGCGCUACUAGGCCCGACAGUCUAAGUCCAGCAUAUGGGAAGCCCACGUUUCAAGACCCUAUGGGAGCUAGAGCUUCAUCUUUGUCCUUCAGCGCCUUACGAUCCUAGCUGUUAGAUCAGAGUGCAAUCUGAUAGUCCAAAUUGAGAGCGUUUUUAGGGUUCAUGGAGAGUCCUCAUUCCAGUCGUCAAUCAGCCAAAGAUAGCUUCAACCAUCCUAGAGUUUUCGUCGUAUUUUGGAAGAGAUUAUCUCUUAGUGAGAAAGGGAUUUUGGGAAAAUCAAGAAAAAUAGAAAAUAAUGUAGUGCUUUAGUCCAUUGGAACUUUAAAUAAAAUGAGAUCCCUAAGUCUAUAAAUCCCUGCAAAAAA